UACCAGCACCCCGAGUGGUCGGGACGAUUAUUGGGCCUAAAGCAUCCGUAGCCGGCCUUACAAGUCCCCCGUUAAAUCCAGCUGCUCAACAGAUGGGCUGCGGAGGAUACUACAGGGCUAGGAGGCGGGAGAGGCAAGCGGUACUUUAUGGGUAGGGGUAAAAUCCGUUGAUCCAUAGAAGACCACCAGUGGCGAAGGCGGCUUGCCAGAACGCGCUCGACGGUGAGGGAUGAAAGCUGGGGGAGCAAACCGG
rnacentral:rRNA from 1 species